rnacentral:rRNA from 1 species
UAAUCGCGGAUCAGCAUGCCGCGGUGAAUACGUUCCCGGGCCUUGUACACACCGCCCGUCACACCACGAGAGUUUGUAACACCCGAAGUCGGUGAGGUAACCUUUUGGAGCCAGCCGCCUAAGGUGGGACAGAUGAUUGGGGUGAAGUCGUAACAAGGUAGCCGUAUCGGAAGGUGCGGCUGGAUCACCUCCUUUCUAAGGA